ensembl:lncRNA
GGCAAAGGAUUUAGAUGCUAAUCAGCCAAGUCUUGCAGACUUUGCAGCCUUCACGUGCAUUCAUCUGAGUGGAUGGAAAGCUCACCGUGAGCGGAAAGAAAGAAAGGGGACAGCUUUGCAAGGAGAGAUUCCUCUUUUCUCCCACUCCACUCACCCACAAAUGGCCCCGGAGCAGAAGCAACUGCGUGCUCAGCGAUUCUAAGUCAUGUCUGUGUGACUGGCCAGCUGGGUUAUUGGAUGAUGCUGUGGAGACAUUUUCACUUGGCCUUCUAGUCAUCUGAGAGAAUUCUUGUGAACACGCAGCAAGAUGGAGACAAUUUACAAACCAAAAGAAUCCUCAAAAUGAAACCUUACCUUAUCAGCACCUUGAUCUUGGACUCCUCAGCCACCGGAAUUCGCGGCCAGAGCCAGCUCCAGCGCCACGUACACCGCGUCCUGCGCCUCCAGCGGCAUCGCCGCCCGGCCCGCCUCGGGCUCGCCCCACCUGGCUUCCCGGAGCGCCCGGCCCGCGCUCGCCCCUCCGCGUCUGAGCCCGGGGCUCCGUAUUUUUCUUUAAGUAGUGUGGAUUAUUUUGCUACACAGAAACCUAUUUAUUCCUAUUAUUAACAUUGGUUCGCAUCUGAAAGUCUUCAACAAUGGCUGUUUAUAAGCUGAAACAUAAAACAUCAUCAACAAUGGAGCAACAGGAACUCUCAUUCAUUGCUGGUGGGAGUGGAAAAUGGGACAGCCACUUCUGAAGAAUGUUUGGCAGUUUCUUACAAACCUAAACAUACCUUUAGUAUACAAUCUAGUAACUGAGCUCCUUGAUGAUGUUCAAAUAAUUUGAAAACUUACUUCUAUGUCAAAUGAAAGACGCCAAUCUGAAAAUACAUAUGAGUGCAACUAUGUAAUAUUCUGGAAAAAUAAAAUUUAUGGAGUCAGAGAAAAGCUCAUGGCUGCUAAGAGAUCUUGGGACAGAUGGAAGAAUAGAUGAAACACAGAGGAUUUUUAUGGCUGUGAAAAUACUUUGCAUGAUACCACAAUGAUUGGAAGCAUGUUUUAUUAUACCCUUAGGCAAAUUCGUAGAAUGUACAGCACAAAGAGUAAACUCUAAUGUAGACUAUGGACUUGGGGCAGUCUAUGCCUGUUUAAUGAUUAUAACAAAUACACUACUCUUGAGAUGAGAUGUAAACUGGCUGCCUUAUUUAUUCACCAAAAACCCACCAGUCUCUUUACAAUGCUCACAGAUGUCAAAAUUGAGUCAUGUCGUCAGGAAUUAAAACAUCCUUACUUGCGAGUCUUCCAACUUUAUUUAGUAGCCUCUCACAGCUAUAUAUAAUAUUCACAUUUUGAUGAUUUGUAGGGAUAGCACAGAAAGUCUAUAUCUGUAGAGGUUUAUGGUAACUAGGAUCUGGAUUUGUGUUCAGACAAGCAGAGGUGCUGGUUGUGAUCAAACACAGUUUAUAAUCCCAAAUUUAUGGCUCAAAGCAAUUUUCACCUUUUGUUCUUCAUCAUGUAAACUCUCUAUGUUAUUCAUCACUAUUUAAAACUGAAUGUAGUCAUAACUAAUAUCAAAAUGGUGUCUGAUACACAGUAGAUGUUAAGUAAAUCUUUUCUAGAUUGAUGACUUGCAUAAAUCUGCCAUAUUUCUUCUUGCACAACUUUCCUCAUUUUUUUUCUUGCAUGAGUUUCCUUUCAAUGUGUUAUGCAGAAUAAUUAUCUAUGUUAGUCAUUCUUAACAAUCCAGUAUCUUCCUUCAAUAAACAUAAACGCCAGAGGGCUAGCAUAUGCUGUAGAAAUAAAGUCUCUUCAGUAAGUGGUGCUGAGAAAACUGGAUAGCUCCAUGUUAAAGAAUGAAAUUAGAACAUCCUCUAACACCAUACAAAAAUAAACUCAAUAUGGAUUAAAGACCUAAAUGCAUGAGCAGAUUAUAUAAAACUCCUAGAGUAAAAUAUAAGCAGAAUACUCUUUGACCCAAAUCACAACAAUAUCUUUUUCAAUCUGUCUCCUAGAGUAAUGGAAAUAAAAACAAACAAAUGGGACCUAAUUAAACUUAAAAGCUUUUGCAUAGCAAAGGAAACUAUAAACAAAGGAAAAGAAAAUCUACAGAAUGGGAGAAAGUAUUUGCAAACAAAGUGACCAACAAGGGAUUAAUCUCCAAAGUAUACAAACAACUCAUGCAGUUCUAUGUCAUAAAACAACCAAGCAAAAAAAUGAGAAGAGACCUAAAUAGAUGUUUUUCUUUCUCCAAAGAAAACAUAGAAAUGGCCAAAAGGCACAGGAAC